GAGAGAGGGAGCUCAGAGAAGAGUGCAGAAAGAAACAAGGCAACAAAGAGAGAGAUGAGGAGGCCACGGUGCUAAUGCUCUCUGGAGAUAAGCGAAGGAGGAGAGCUGGAAGGUAGGAUAGUGGUGGAGCUCUACAACAGCGUACUAACUGAGCACAGUGAAUUAGUUGGUGAAUGAGGGUCUUUUGGGCCGCAAUUGGCAUCAGAUGCUGAAAGACGAAGGCGGUGAUGGUGAUGUUCCUUCCCUGGAGAACCAGUCGGGCAACGCCAACAAUGGUGAUCAAACUCCAGAAUCCUCUGCAAAUAUGUCAACUGCUUUGGAACAUAACAAGAUACCAUCACUGAGAAAAGCUCUAAAAGAUGCGGCGAUGGAGAAAGAUGCAUUAGUUGUUUGUAGGAGGAUCUGUUUGCACAACUUCGUACACUCAGGAAACAGAUAAAGGAAGCAACAGAGGAACAAUAUUGAGGAUAGGCUAAAUUUGCAAGAAUACCUCCACAGCAAAGGCACUCCAAUAGCCUUUGCAUUACACUGAUAUGAAGUCUUUGUCACCGCUAAGUUCAUGAUGAUAAGUUAGAAGACAGAGAGCCAUGAAUUGCUUGGUAAGGCUGGGGUAGAAUUUGGGUUCAAUCAUCCAAUGGGUGGCCUCAGAAUUCCCUUUGGAGAAGACGUCUUACUAGAACCAGCGUGACAAUGUUGGAUUCAUGCGCAUGCAUCUCUCUUUUUGGCAGAAGAGAUGGGAUGGAUGAUGUCUCAAGAACAGUAUAGUCAUCAGAAUGCUUUUGUCCGGGAUUGUUCAGGCUAAGCAGAUGCUCUAGGUUGCAGAUGGCUCCAGAUGUACUGAAAGGACACUUUUCUUUCACAUUCCAGAAACCAAAAGAAGGCAUUUCUUGGUUCCGAUGUCAAACUUGAAGCACCCCUAAUCUCCAGGCUGAAGAAUUGCUCGGCUUCAAAAAUCCUAUGGAUACUCUCAUAAACUCCAUGUGGAGAAGCUUAUAUCGAUCUCGCAUGUACAACAAAUGGCUUAUUGGUUUAUGAGAGAUGAAAUAUAUUGGUUUAUAAGGCAUUGUAAAUUUAUUGCUUUUGUGAUGACAAUUGAGUUCUUAUACUUUCAACGCAAUUAUAUCAAA